rnacentral:rRNA from 1 species
CCUACGGGAGGCAGCAGUGAGGAAUAUUGGUCAAUGGGCGCUAGCCUGAACCAGCCAAGUAGCGUGAAGGAUGACUGCCCUAUGGGUUGUAAACUUCUUUUAUAGGGGAAUAAAGUGCAGUAUGUAUACUGCUUUGCAUGUACCUUAUGAAUAAGGAUCGGCUAACUCCGUGCCAGAAGCCGCGGUAAUACGGAGGAUCCGAGCGUUAUCCGGAUUUAAUGGGUUUAAAGGGAGCGUAGGCGGGUUGUUAAGUCAGUUGUGAAAGUUUGCGUCUCAACCGUAAAAUUGCAGUUGAGACUGGCAUCCUUGCUUCCAGUAGAGGUCGGCGUCAUUCGUGGUGUAGCGGUUAAAUGCUUCGCUCUCAC